CUCCGGUGCCUUCAAAAUUUCUACUCUGAUGAAACAUAAACGUAAUUUUAUUUCGUUUAGAUCAACCAAUAAUUCCAACAAUUGGUAGAACACAUCAAAAUUUCAUGACUACCAAGAUUUCUGGACCAGGUACAGUAUAUUUGUUCAAAAUUUAGUAUACUCUUUGUCAAUGAAAGCAGGUUGGAUGAGCAGUAUUUUAAAGUACGUAUUGCAUGGUGCCAACUAUCUUUCUAUAACAAUCCCCCUUGAUCUAAGCAAAGCUAGUGUAACUAUAAUCAAGCAGGGUACAAAUAUUCUCGGGGGGGGGGGGGCUUUAUCGUUGUGUUACCACUACAGCAUCCAUCGUAAAUUUAAUAAAUCAUAGAAAUUUUAGUUACUACUGGUUGAUGCCAUUUUUGCCGGGGAGUAUAUUUAAAACUUGUUUACUAAGGCUGCAUGGGACAGACAUGAACGAAAUGUUGUGUGAUCGGAGACCAUCAUAAUAAACAACUUGAAAAUUGUAGCGCGGAUUGCGUCUGCAUUCUUUCUAUUUAAAAGUUUCCAUGGCAUUAUAUCAGUUUUAAAUAUUUCUGUUCAGUCAAUACAGCUGCCAACAAAGAGGAUGAUGGGACAACUGUUGUAGUAUGGCAUAUUUUGUGUCUUUGGUGUCUGGGUUUAUUCUUGGAAUUCUC